UGAACUCCCCUGCCUUCUUCGUCCCUCCUGCCACCACAUUCCAAACUGCAGCUGUCUGGKUCCCUUGGAGCUCAGUUCAUCCCCCAGUCAACCCUCACCUCCCAGAACCCUGGUUUCAGCCCAGUGGGCGAGCGUCUAAGAAGAGCUCCAUCUCGCAGGCUACAGACAAGCUUAUCUGAUCAUCUGUCUACAGCCAUUAGAGUAGAAKCAGAUUCUUUGGUACCAGUUCAUCAAACGGU